rnacentral:misc_RNA from 1 species
AAGACUAUAGACCUGCGGAGUACCUGCGGAAGGAUCAUUAUCGUAUUGUAACAAUUGGGGGGGCCACCGUGGGCUGUCGCUGACCCUUUGAAAGGGGGGUCGUGCACGCCCCCAUAGUGUCAUCCUCAUACUAUCCAACUCACCUCUGUGCAUCACCGCGUGGGUUCCUUUCUGGGUCGAGUCAGACUGGCUCAGAAAAAAGGGGCUUGCGUUUUCCAUACAAAUACCCUUAUAAAUCCA